UGAGCAAUCUGCCCUUCUCUUUGGAAUAAGCGUUGGAAACGACGUCUAGUGCCGAAUACGACCUCCUUUCGCAUGAUCGGAGGUGGAAAGCUCCGGCGGAGAAGGAUGAGCUCGCGGCCUAUCAGCUAGUUGGUGUGGGUAAUGGCCCACCAAGGCGACGACGGGUAGCCGGCCUGAGAGGGUGACCGGCCACACUGGGACUGAGACACGGCCCAGACCUCCGUACGGGAGGNAGCG
rnacentral:rRNA from 1 species